GACGAACGCUGGCGGCGUGCUUAACACAUGCGAGUCGAACGGUGAAGCGCCUUCCUUUUUGGUGGGUGUGGAUGAGUGGCGAACGGGUGAGUAACACGUGAGUAACCUGCCCCCUUCUUCUGGAUAACCGCAUGAAAGUGUGGCUAAUACGGGAUAUUCUGGGUCUGUCGCAUGAUGGGUCUGGGAAAGAUAUUGUUUCGGUGGGGGAUGGGCUCGCGGCCUAUCAGCUUGUUGGUGGGGUGAUGGCCUACCAAGGCGGUGACGGGUAGCCGGCCUGGGAGGGUGGACGGUCACACUGGGACUGAGACACGGCCCAGACUCCUACGGGAGGCAGCAGUGGGGAAUAUUGCACAAUGGGCGCAAGCCUGAUGCAGCGACGCCGCGUGAGGGAUGGAGGCCUUCGGGUUGUGAACCUCUUUCGCCAGUGAAGCAGGCCUGCCUCGUUUGUGGGUGGGUUGACGGUAGCUGGAUAAGAAGCGCCGGCUAACUACGUG
rnacentral:rRNA from 1 species